rnacentral:rRNA from 1 species
UACGUAGGGCGCAAGCGUUGUCCGGAAUUAUUGGGCGUAAAGAGCUCGUAGGCGGUCACUCAAGUCGAAUGUGAAACCUCGAGGCUCAACCUCGAGCCUGCAUUCGAUACUGGCCGGCUAGAGUCUGGUAGGGGGAUCUGGAAUUCCUGGUGUAGCGGUGGAAUGCGCAGAUAUCAGGAGGAACACCGGUGGCGAAGGCGGGAUCCUGGGCCAGUACUGACGCUGAGGAGCGAAAGCGUGGGGAGCAAACAGG